ensembl:lncRNA
AAGCCAAUCUAUAGACUGAAGUAUCUGACCCCACUCAUAUGAGCUAUCCCUGGAAAUGCUGUUUGCAUUCUUAGGCCAAGCAUUGUAAACUGAAGACCAAUCAACCAAACAAAAAUGACUAAGGGAAUGACUAAUGGGAGAAAGUUAUGAGGAGCUAAAUAUAAAGGAACUGACUAUAUAGACUGACUAAACCAGGUCUCAAAAUAGAACGCUGAUGAGGGUGUUAUUGUUUUAUAGGGCAGACAGUGAUAACCAUGGAAGUGAGCAGCAACAGGAAGUAGGAAGAGGAAAAUUUAGACAGUAUCAGAAAAAUAAAGCUUCCUGUUAGAGAAGAUUAUUAGCCUAAUCCCAUCCCUCAAGGGGAAUGUUAGACUCUCCACUUGCUGAUCUGCGGGGCGCCCACUAACUGGGGCUCUGGAGUGUGUAUUUUUAGUUUUCCAGGACAAUGAACUGGACACCUCUCAGCCUUUCUUUUACACUCUGCCAAUGGUAAGAAGAGGAGUGGGAAAUCAGGAGGAGGAGGGGUCAAGGCAAAGCAGGAGAACAGCAGAUUCCUAUACUGUGCUCAGGCGACUUGCUUGCAGUGUGUCUUCUCAUUCUGGAGCCUCUCCCGAGAAACUAGAAAGAAACAUAUGGAUGCAAAAAAAGUUUCAUUUGUUGCCAGAUACCUUCUCUACAUAACAUCUGGACCUAUGGAACAUCUGCACAGCUUUUCAUCUGGAUGUUUGGCAAAUACAGAGACAGUGUUUCCUUUCUAAAUCUAAUUCUUACACAGUGUUAUUCUCAUAGCAUAUUUGUUAAUGCUUCUAAUAUCCU